AGAGUUUGAUCCUGGCUCAGGACGAACGCUGGCGGCGUGCUUAACACAUGCAAGUCGAGCGGUAAGGCCCCUUCGGGGGUACACGAGCGGCGAACGGGUGAGUAACACGUGAGUAACCUGCCCCCCACAUUGGGAUAACCCCGGGAAACCGGGGCUAAUACCGAAUACGACCACACGAGGCAUCUCAAGUGGUGGAAAGCUCCGGCGGUGGAGGAUGGACUCGCGGCCUAUCAGCUUGUUGGUGAGGUAACGGCCCACCAAGGCGACGACGGGUAGCCGGCCUGAGAGGGUGACCGGCCACACUGGGACUGAGACACGGCCCAGACUCCUACGGGAGGCAGCAGUGGGGAAUAUUGGACAAUGGGCGAAAGCCUGAUCCAGCAACGCCGCGUGAGGGAUGACGGCCUUCGGGUUGUAAACCUCUUUCAGCGGGGACGAAGCGAAAGUGACGGUACCCGCAGAAGAAGCACCGGCCAACUACGUGCCAGCAGCCGCGGUAACACGUAGGGUGCAAGCGUUGUCCGGAAUUAUUGGGCGUAAAGGGCUCGUAGGCGGUCCGUCACGUCGGGAGUGAAAACUCGGGGCUCAACCCCGAGCCUGCUUUCGAUACGGGCGGACUAGAGGUAGGUAGGGGAGAACGGAAUUCCUGGUGUAGCGGUGGAAUGCGCAGAUAUCAGGAGGAACACCGGUGGCGAAGGCGGUUCUCUGGGCCUUACCUGACGCUGAGGAGCGAAAGCGUGGGGAGCGAACAGGAUUAGAUACCCCCGUAGUCC
rnacentral:rRNA from 1 species